rnacentral:rRNA from 1 species
AGAGUUUGAUCCUGGCUCAGAUUGAACGCUGGCGGCAUGCCUUACACAUGCAAGUCGAACGGCAGCACGGGAGCAAUCCUGGUGGCGAGUGGCGAACGGGUGAGUAAUACAUCGGAACGUGCCCAAUCGUGGGGGAUAACGCAGCGAAAGCUGUGCUAAUACCGCAUACGAUCUACGGAUGAAAGCAGGGGAUCGCAAGACCUUGCGCGAAUGGAGCGGCCGAUGGCAGAUUAGGUAGUUGGUGAGGUAAAGGCUCACCAAGCCUUCGAUCUGUAGCUGGUCUGAGAGGACGACCAGCCACACUGGGACUGAGACACGGCCCAGACUCCUACGGGAGGCAGCAGUGGGGAAUUUUGGACAAUGGGCGAAAGCCUGAUCCAGCCAUGCCGCGUGCGGGAUGAAGGCCUUCGGGUUGUAAACUGCUUUUGUACGGAACGAAACGGCCUUUUCUAAUAAAGAGGGCUAAUGACGGUACCGUAAGAAUAAGCACCGGCUAACUACGUGCCAGCAGCCGCGGUAAUACGUAGGGUGCAAGCGUUAAUCGGAAUUACUGGGCGUAAAGCGUGCGCAGGCGGUUAUGUAAGACAGUUGUGAAAUCCCCGGGGCUCAACCUGGGAACUGCAUCUGUGACUGCAUAGCUAGAGUACGGUAGAGGGGGAUGGGAAUUCCGCGUGUAGCAGUNGAAAUGCGUAGAUAUGCGGAGGAACACCGAUGGCGAANGCAAUCCU